ACGGAAGGCAGCAGUGGGGGAUAUUGGUCAAUGGGGGAAACCCUGAACCAGCAACGCCGCGUGAAGGAAGACGGUCUUCGGAUUGUAAACUUUUGUUGUUGAGGAAGAUAAUGACGGUACUCAACGAGGAAGCCACGGCUAACUACGUGCCAGCAGCCGCGGUAAUACGUAGGUGGCAAGCGUUGUCCGGAUUUACUGGGUGUAAAGGGUGCGUAGGCGGGUUAUAAAGUCAGAUGUGAAAUACCGAGGCUUAACUUCGGGGCUGCAUUUGAAACUUAUGAUCUUGAGUGAAGCAGAGGCAAGCGGAAUUCCUAGUGUAGCGGUGAAAUGCGUAGAUAUUAGGAGGAACACCAGUGGCGAAGGCGGCUUGCUGGGCUUUAACUGACGCUGAGGCACGAAAGCAUGGGGAGCAAACAGGAUUAGAUACCCUGGUA
rnacentral:rRNA from 1 species